UACGGGGGGAGCAAGCGUUGUUCGGAUUUACUGGGCGUAAAGGGCGCGUAGGCGUCGCAACAAGUCACUUGUGAAAUCUCCGGGCUUAACCCGGAGCGGCCAAGUGAUACUGUCGUGCUAGAGUGCGGAAGGGGCUACUGGAAUUCUCGGUGUAGCGGUGAAAUGCGUAGAUAUCGAGAGGAACACCUGCGGCGAAGGCGGGUAGCUGGGCCGACACUGACGCUGAGGCGCGAAAGCCAGGGGAGCGAACGGG
rnacentral:rRNA from 1 species